rfam:Weissella kandleri strain DSM 20593 Scaffold18, whole genome shotgun sequence.
GGGCCUGUAGCUCAGCUGGUUAGAGCGCUGUGUUGAUAACGCAGAGGUCACAGGUUCGAGUCCUGUCAGGCCCA